rnacentral:rRNA from 1 species
GAGUGCCCCAAGCGUUAUCCGGAUUUAUUGGGCGUAAAGCGUACGUAGGCGGUUUAUUAAGUCAGUGGUAAAAUCUCAGGGCUCAACCCUGAACCUGCCACUGAAACUGCUAAACUAGAGGCUGGGAGAGGCAAGCGGAAUUGCUGGUGUAGGGGUAAAAUCCGUUAAUAUCAGCGGGAACACCAACUGCGAAGGCAGCUUGCUAGAACAGUCCUGACGCUAAGGUACGAAAGCGUGGGUAGCGAAUGGGAUUAGAUACCCCAGUAGUCCACGCCGUAAACGAUGGAUACUAGACAUUGGAAGUAUCGACCCCUUUCAGUGUCGGUGAACCAAGCUAACGCAUUAAGUAUCCCGCCUGGGGAGUACGGCCGCAAGGCUA